rnacentral:piRNA from 1 species
UCAAUUUGGUGCGUGGUCUAGAGCAGC